rfam:Salmo salar isolate Sally breed double haploid chromosome ssa13, whole genome shotgun sequence.
AAUGCACCAAUUUGUAAGUCGCUCUGGAUAAGAGCAUCUGCUAAAGGAUGUAAA